GGAAAAGGGGGCAAUCAUGGUGCCGCUGGGUAGGGGAGAAGCUGCCGCUGCCGCUGUUGCCGGGAGCCGCGGAGACAGGUCAUUCAUAUUACCUUUUCAUUUCUCACAAUUGGGCUGAGCACAAUUGAACCAUGGGGGAACACAGUCCAGAGGACAACUUCAUCUACUUUGAAGCAGAGGAAGAUGAGCUGACCCAUGAUGAUAAUAUGCUCAGGUUUGUGGAUAAAAACGGAUUGGUGCCUUCCUCAUCUGGAACUGUUUAUGAUAGGACAACUGUUCUUAUUGAGCAGGACCCUGGCACUUUGGAGGAUGAAGAUGAUGAUGGACAGUGUGGAGAACACUUACCUUUUCUAGUAGGGGGUGAAGAGGGCUUUCACCUAAUAGAUCAUGAAGCAAUGUCCCAGGGUUAUGUGCAACAUAUUAUCUCACCAGAUCAGAUUCAUUUAACAAUAAACCCUGGUUCCACGCCAAUGCCAAGAAAUAUCGAAGGUGCAACCCUAACUCUGCAAUCAGAAUGCCCAGAAACAAAGCGUAAAGAACACCAGGUCACUGAAAGUCAUUUCCACAACAGGCAGUUGGAGCAACAGGCAAAGUUGACGGCUCUUAUAGAUACAGAAUGAGAACUCUGUUUUACAGCAGUGACAGUGGAGUGGAGAGGGUGAGAUGACUUGUAACUCCUUUUGUGUGUGUGUGCGUGUGUGUGCGCGCGCGUACGUGUGAAUUGAGCUUUGUGCCUUUCACCAUUCCCUUUGUACUCUCCUUAAUUUUUUUUUUUUAAUUUUAUUCCCCAGAUAGAUGGUGAGAGACAAAGGGGGCUAAAGAGAAAGUCAAGCACAGGAGAGAUUCCACAGUGCCACUGCAGUGCUUAUAAAACUUCCCAUUUGUAUGGUGCUCCCGGGCGGUGGCCAAGAACUUGAACCUGGGUCCUUACCAUUGGCAAAGUGUAUGCUAUACCAUGUGGCCUAUGCUGGCCCCUGGCUAGCAACUCUCAGUACCUGCUGUGUGCCACUCACUGUGUUACUGUCAUGGGCAUCAUAUGUGCUUUAACACCGUUUUCUGCUUACUUUCCUUAACCUUUUUAUAAUAUUAUUAGUUCCCAUUUUACAAGUGAAAACAACUGAGAUGGGUUGGUUUGUUUUUUACCUGGGCACUGCUCAGUUCUGGCUCUCGGUGGUGUUGGUGUGGGGAUUGAACCUGGAACUUGACAGCCUCAGGCUUGCAAGUCUUUGCGUAACCACUAUGAUGUCUCCUUUACUCAUAACUGAGGCUUAGAAACAUAAGACUAGAGGUGGGGGAAAUAGCAUGAUUGUUAUGGGAAAGCCUUUCAUGCCUGAGGCUCUCAAGUCCCAGAUCAAUCCCACAUGCCACCAUAUGAGCUGGGCAGUGCUCUGGAACUAUUUCUGUUCAUUGUCUCUAACUCCUCACUUUACCUGAUUUCUUUUAUAUUAUUAUUAUUUAUGUUUUUAUAGAGAGAGAGGAAAAGAAAUAUAUACCUAUUUUUUAUAUUUUAUUUAUUUUCCUUUUUUGUUGCCCUUGUUGUUUUUUAUCAUUGUUGUGGUU